GAUGAACGCUGGCGGCGUGCCUAAUACAUGCAAGUCGAGCGAACAGACGAGGAGCUUGCUCCUCUGACGUUAGCGGCGGACGGGUGAGUAACACGUGGAUAACCUACCUAUAAGACUGGGAUAACUUCGGGAAACCGGAGCUAAUACCGGAUAAUAUAUUGAACCGUAUGGUUCAAUAGUGAAAGACGGCUUUGCUGUCACUUAUAGAUGGAUCCGCGCCGCAUUAGCUAGUUGGUAAGGUAACGGCUUACCAAGGCGACGAUGCGUAGCCGACCUGAGAGGGUGAUCGGCCACACUGGAACUGAGACACGGUCCAGACUCCUACGGGAGGCAGCAGUAGGGAAUCUUCCGCAAUGGGCGAAAGCCUGACGGAGCAACGCCGCGUGAGUGAUGAAGGUCUUCGGAUCGUAAAACUCUGUUAUUAGGGAAGAACAAAUGUGUAAGUAACUAUGCACGUCUUGACGGUACCUAAUCAGAAAGCCACGGCUAACUACGUG
rnacentral:rRNA from 1 species